rnacentral:lncRNA from 1 species
AUACAACAGCAUGCAUUUAAAUUUAAAAUUCAAAUUUGAAUCAGUAAACGUUUUACAGUACUGUGUUCAGAACACAUCACCUUUUGCGGGUAGUCGAUCACCGCAAUCUGAUCACCGUCGGGGGGCUCUGAUCGUCACGUCGCAGCCAUACAAAUGUCUGACCUCUGCGGAUCGUCCACACGAAGCUCCCGUCUGAUCAGCUCCUCACGAAUGCUAGUUCAUGAUUUCACCCUUUUGAUGGCAGAUGUUGAUCGAACUCCUUCGAUCGAUGUGUGCCGACUUCUCGGACGCUCCGGAUCAUCUGCACAGUUGCUUGAGAGGCUGAUGGAUCUCUCUCUAAAAUUUGGUGGACUCAC